rnacentral:rRNA from 1 species
GACGAACGCUGGCGGCGUGCUUAACACAUGCAAGUCGAACGGAAAGGCCUUUUCGGAGGUACUCGAGUGGCGCACGGGUGAGUAACACGUGGGUGAUCUGCCCUGCACUCUGGGAUAAGCCUGGGAAACUGGGUCUAAUACCGGAUAGGACCGCACUUUAGUGUGUGUGGUGGAAAGUUUUUUCGGUGUAGGAUGAGCCCGCGGCCUAUCAGCUUGUUGGUGGGGUAAUGGCCUACCAAGGCGGCGACGGGUAGCCGGACUGAGAGGUUGGUCGGCCACAUUGGGACUGAGAGACGGCCCAGACGCCUACGGGAGGCAGCAGGGGGGAAUAUUGCACAAUGGGCGCAAGCCUGAUGCAGCGACGCCGCGUGGGGGAUGACGGCCUUCGGGUUGUAAACUCCUUUCGCCAGGGACGAAGCGUUUUGUGACGGUACCUGGAGAAGAAGCACCGGCUAACUACGUG